rnacentral:rRNA from 1 species
GUGAUAGCUGGUUCUCUCCGAAAUAUAUUUAGGUAUAGCGUUGUGUCGUAAUAUAAGGGGGUAGAGCACUGAAUGGGCUAGGGCAUACACCAAUGUACCAAACCCUAUCAAACUCCGAAUACCUUAUAUGUAAUCACAGCAGUCAGGCGGCGAGUGAUAAAAUCCGUCGUCAAGAGGGAAACAACCCAGACUACCAGCUAAGGUCCCUAAAUCUUACUUAAGUGGAAAACGAUGUGAAGUUACUUAAACAACCAGGAGGUUGGCUUAGAAGCAGCCAUCCUUUAAAGAAAGCGUAAUAGCUCACUGGUCUAGUGAUUUUGCGCGGAAAAUAUAACGGGGCUAAAGUAAGUACCGAAGCUGUAGACUUAGUUUACUAAGUGGUAGGAGAGCGUUCUAUUUGCGUCGAAGGUAUACCGGUAAGGAGUGCUGGAGCGAAUAGAAGUGAGCAUGCAGGCAUGAGUAGCGAUAAUUAAUGUGAGAAUCAUUAACGCCGUAAACCCAAGGUUUCCUACGCGAUGCUCGUCAUCGUAGGGUUAGUCGGGUCCUAAGUCGAGUCCGAAAGGGGUAGACGAUGGCAAAUUGGUUAAUAUUCCAAUACCAACAUUAGUGUGCGAUGGAAGGACGCUUAGGGCUAAGGGGGCUAGCGGAUGGAAGUGCUAGUCUAAGGUCGUAGGAGGUUAUACAGGCAAAUCCGUAUAACAAUACUCCGAGAACUGAAAGGCUUUUUGAAGUCUUCGGAUGGAUAGAAGAACCCCUGAUGCCAUCGAGCCAAGAAAAGUUUCUAAGUUUAGCUAAUGUUGCCCGUACCGUAAACCGACACAGGUGGGUGGGAUGAGUAUUCUAAGGCGCGUGGAAGAACUCUCUUUAAGGAACUCUGCAAAAUAGCACCGUAUCUUCGGUAUAAGGUGUGGUUCGCUUCGUAUUAGGAUUUACUCCGAAAGCGAAGAAACUUACAACAAAGAGUCCCUCCCGACUGUUUACCAAAAACACAGCACUCUGCUAACUCGUAAGAGGAUGUAUAGGGUGUGACGCCUGCCCGGUGCUCGAAGGUUAAUUGAUGGGGUUAGCAUUAGCGAAGCUCUUGAUCGAAGCCCGAGUAAACGGCGGCCGUAACUAUAACGGUCCUAAGGUAGCGAAAUUCCUUGUCGGUUAAAUACCGACCUGCAUGAAUGGCGUAACGAGAUGGGAGCUGUCUCAAAGAGGGAUCCAGUGAAAUUGUAGUGGAGGUGAAAAUUCCUCCUACCCGCGGCAAGACGGAAAGACCCCGUGGACCUUUACUACAGCUUGACACUGCUAUUUGGAUAAGAAUGUGCAGGAUAGGUGGGAGGCUUUGAGUAUAUGACGCCAGUUGUAUAUGAGCCAUUGUUGAGAUACCACUCUUUCUUAUUUGGGUAGCUAACCAGCUUGAGUUAUCCUCAAGUGGGACAAUGUCUGGUGGGUAGUUUGACUGGGGCGGUCGCCUCCCAAAUAAUAACGGAGGCUUACAAAGGUUGGCUCAGAACGGUUGGAAAUCGUUCGUAGAGUAUAAAGGUAUAAGCCAGCUUAACUGCAAGACAUACAAGUCAAGCAGAGACGAAAGUCGGUCUUAGUGAUCCGGUGGUUCUGUGUGGAAGGGCCAUCGCUCAAAGGAUAAAAGGUACCCCGGGGAUAACAGGCUGAUCUCCCCCAAGAGCUCACAUCGACGGGGAGGUUUGGCACCUCGAUGUCGGCUCAUCGCAUCCUGGGGCUGGAGCAGGUCCCAAGGGUAUGGCUGUUCGCCAUUUAAAGCGGUACGCGAGCUGGGUUCAGAACGUCGUGAGACAGUUCGGUCCCUAUCUGCCGUGGGCGUAAGAAGAUUGAAGAGAUUUGACCCUAGUACGAGAGGACCGGGUUGAACAAACCACUGGUGUAGCUGUUGUUCUGCCAAGAGCAUCGCAGCGUAGCUAAGUUUGGAAAGGAUAAACGCUGAAAGCAUCUAAGCGUGAAGCCAACUCUAAGAUGAAUCUUCUCUAAGCUCUCUAGAAGACUACUAGUUUGAUAGGCUGGGUGUGUAAUGGAUGAAAGUCCUUUAGCUGACCAGUACUAAUAGAGCGUUUGGCUUAUCUUUAAUAAAGCAU